CUGAAUAUGUCAAAAGUUGUCAAACCUGGACAGACGCAAUGGCAUUUACUCCAAAAAUCGUAGCAGAUUCAAAAAAAGAUAACCAUGAAUCAUUUGGAAAAAUGACAUUACAGUAAUAAAAGUCUUGGCUUCUAGACAGACACCAGUGCAUCUACGAUUCUGUAUGACCACAGAUACAACAAAAGAAUGACCAAGAAUUAUAUGGAUAAAUGACACCCUGAAUGUCAAUUAUAGCUAGGCUAAAUAUCAUUAUUUGGAAAAUAUGCCUUACUAGCUGACAAAGGUCUUGGUGCUUCAUGAAACAACAAAUGAUGUCAGACUAUUUGACGAGUAAGUGUGCUGUUUCAUCACGAUUGAGCAAGUGGUAAAAAUGACGAUGAUCGUGACACUAUCGUCACCACUCAAAAUUCAACUAUGCCUCUUGUAAAGCCCCGUGCUGAGAUAAAUCCAACAGAGUAUUUUUCAGCUUCCUCCAUGAUUUGUUAUCCGAGCUGAUUAACAACAGUAAAAUUAUAUACCAUUGUUAAUUGUACCAUCUGAAUCAUCGUUCGUGCUUUAAAAAUUAAUUCAACAAUCAUCAUAUGAAACAGCAACAGCAU